GACAUUUGACACUGAAUUUCUUUUAAUCCUCAAUUCACAUGCCUUUCAAAAUAUAACCCUGACUACGAAUUCUUUUGAUACGAGAGAUUCUCUCCCCUUUUCUAUAUUUCACUCCCUUUUUUUAUUCUUUUUAUUUCACAGCCCUACUGCAAUGACCGUUUUGCCCCCUUUGCCUUAUCUCCUCAUUGAACCGAGCGGCACUCCUCGCUCCACCCAGCGAUGCCGCCGCCGCCUGAAACGCCGGCGAGGCCCCUCCGCUAUGCCUGAGCCUUGCCCCUUCCAUUUUCCCUUGUUACCGCUCUGCUGUCGUCGCGCUCCGCUGCUGUCCGGCGGCUGCUCCGCUGCUGUCUAGCACGGCCUCCUGCAUCUCUCGCUUCGCCGUGGUGCAGCAUGCCGCACGGGCUCAAUCGCUCAAGCACGUGUAGCAAGGAGUCCAGGUGCCAAUCCGAUCCAAUUGCCUGCGCAGGUGCCACCAUGCUAUGCAAUUGAGGAUUUGGAAUUGAAUAUUUGUUCCAAUUUCAUGCUAUUACAGGUGUCCAUUUCUUCCAAUUGCAUUAUCAGGUGCCAGGCAAUUGAGGAUUUGGGAAUAUGAAAGAGGCUUGGAGUUCUUGGGUGACGUAUGCACUCUUCUGUUCUUGAGCGAGAGAUGGGACACGGGAGAACGGGAGAGAGCCAGAGAGGGAAUGAGAUGCGAUCAGGAGGCGUGAUCUAAUAGGUAGGGAAGAUAAAGCAGGGGUUAACUUGUCCAUUCACUGAGCCUGGAAAAUGAAAGGGAAAUGAAAUGGAGAAAAGUGGAGAGAAUCCCUCAAAUCAAAAGAAUUCACAAUUGGAGAGUUAUAUUUUGGAAGGUAUGCGAAUUGAGGGUCAAAAGAAGUGAAGCUUGCGGAUCCGAUGUCAAAUAUCAAAAUUCCUAACGAGAGAAGGGGAAGGAAGAAGACAAUGGACAAUUUGGUCUAAAGAAACAUAUUGAAGGGGUAAGGGGUAGAUAAUGGCAUAUCUCAAAUAAAAAGCGAAUUGUAAUGGCACAGUUACAAAUAGACGAAUAAUAAUGAUAUAUCUCCGAGACGUGAAAAUUGUAAUGACAUAUAUCCGAUUAACCCUAGAUUUCUUUAUGUUUAUUAUGUCGCAGACUCCGUCAAGCCGUAUUUCAAAAUGAAGUGGUGCAAGGGAAUAUUUUCUUAAUAAUUAUGCUAUCUCUAUCUAGAUUGGAUGGAAUUUUAUUAUUAGAGAUCUCAUUCCACUGGAAUUCAUAUUACAAGGAAACUUGUUUCUAUUUCUUUUAAGGUAUUCAGAAACUGACUUAGAUUCGUAGCAAUGCACAGGCACCUCGGCUAGUAGAUGAAAACUCCAUCUCAAAUGAUGGUACUAAUGUAUACCAUCAAUACUACAUGCUACAUUUUAUUGAAACCAUCUGUAGGAAGGGUGGGGACUUCUACAAGGAGGUAAUCCUAUUUAUGUGGUACAUUAUGCACUUAAUCUAACCAAAAGAAUCACUCAUGUACAAGAUCUCUAAUGCAACCCAGAAGAUGAUAUAUAAUUCCUUCUACCAGCUCAUGAAGCCUCUUAUUACUAUACAUGCUCAAUAACGUUCCUUCCAGGAGCGGGUCAUACAACCU
rnacentral:lncRNA from 1 species